ensembl:lncRNA
GGAUUUAAAAGCAUGAUGUGUCUCCUUUAACGCAUAAGUUGAUUUUGAGUGUUUUGUCUCAAGGUAUCCGAACUGCCCUGUUGGACUCGGAGGAUCAUGUCUGUUUCACAUGUAAACAGUCUGAUGUUUCACCUGAUAAUCUCAUUGCCAAUAUGUUCCUACGACAGGUAAAUCUGAGACGCACACACUACCAUAUUGUUAUUUACUUGACUUUGCAGUGUUCAAUAUAAUGAAAUGCAUCUGUGAUGAUUCAUGCAGGUUGUGAACGACUAUAAAAAUGGGACGACAUACGCAGUGCACAAUCGUGCACAGGUGCACCACCCAGCUCUGCCUCCACCACCACCACAGCUAUCAAGGCUACAUUCAAGACAACUGGAUCCACUGAAGGUCAACAUCCCACAGACUUCUACAGCCAAACCAGUUACAUCCACACCACCCAUCACCGUAACAACUACCAGUUCUCCAGCUCAAAGCUGCAGGAACAGAGAAGAGCAUCUUUCCAGUCACUUCCAACCAGUGGAACCUCCUGCACCCGUUCCUCCUCUGUACCCUUCCCCAGCCCUCUACGGACCCCCACCACAACCAUACCUCCCACCAUACACCUCAGGCCCUGGCCUCAUCCCACCACCCAUAAUUAGUUACCAGCCUCAGCCCAUCUAUGCUUCUGGACACCCAGUGUUUAAUUCUCCAUGGGGGGCCCCUGGUUUCCAGCCCCCACUUGUCUGUCUUCCACCACCCCUCCCUCAGCCUUCCAGUUCAAAGGAGGAUUUGUACAAACCGAGACAUCACCGGAUGGAAAAAGCUACCUCCAGACUUGAUGAGGUCACAAAAGGCUUCCACAAAGACGAUCGGUCUUACCCACGUUCCCCAUUUUCCAGACCCAAUGGGCGCAGUUAUGGACGCUCACGGACAAUAUUUCGUUCAAGGUCUUAUGCCUACCAGCGCUCUGGGUUCCCGCAGUCCCCCUUCUCCAAUCGGUGGUCCUAUAGAUCUAGAUCACGUUCUCGCUCACCUGUUGGCUACAGGGCUCACAGCCCUGGUGGACGAAAGCCAGCUCCCCGAGAACUGCCACCGUAUGAACUAAAAGGUCAGAGUCCUGGAAGCCAAGACCGCUGGGACAAAGAAAGGUAUCGACAGAGGGAGAAGGAGUACGCAGACUGCAAGUACUUAAAAAAUGAUGACAAUCAACAGCCCUCAAUGCAUCACAAGGGUCACAGCAGUAGAGAUAAGGAAAGAGAUCGAAGGACAUCUUCACCCAGAAAUGAUUCAGUUCAUGCGAGAAAACGACGAAGAGAUGACAGGGCAGACAGAGGAGACAAAACAGACAGAAGAGCUGUGCCUCCUCCUCCCCCAUCCUCUUCCUCAUCUACUACCAAGUCCAGCAACAAAAACCUACAAACCAAGAUGUUGAAAAAGAGAAAGGCCGAUGAAUCAGAAUCAUUACAGCAGUCAAAAGCUCAGUCUGACAAAGCAAAGAAAAAGAAAUCCUCCAAAGGAAAGACCAACGCCAAGGUUUAAAGUUAAAGAAUGAUAAAAUUAGGAUAAGAACUGGAGAAAUAUUCAAUACCAAAAAAGAGUCGUCUUCGUCUUCUGCAGCUGCUACAAAAUCUUUAAAGCCUAAUAAACACAAAUCAGAAGAUGCCCCCA